rnacentral:rRNA from 1 species
GCUAAUACCGCAUAAUGCCUACGGGCCAAAGAGGGGGACCUUCGGGCCUCUCGCGUCAGGAUAUGCCUAGGUGGGAUUAGCUAGUUGGUGAGGUAAGGGCUCACCAAGGCGACGAUCCCUAGCUGGUCUGAGAGGAUGAUCAGCCACACUGGAACUGAGACACGGUCCAGACUCCUACGGGAGGCAGCAGUGGGGAAUAUUGCACAAUGGGCGCAAGCCUGAUGCAGCCAUGCCGCGUGUGUGAAGAAGGCCUUCGGGUUGUAAAGCACUUUCAGUCGUGAGGAAGGUAGUGUAGUUAAUAGCUGCAUUAUUUGACGUUACCGACAAAAGAAGCACCGGCUAACUCCGUGCCACCAACCGCGGUAAUACGGAGGGUGCGAGCGUUAAUCAGAAUUACUGGGCGUAAAGCGCAUGCACGUGGUUUGUUAACUCAAAUGUGAAAGCCCGGGGCUCAACCUCAGAAUAGCAUUUGAAACUGGCAGACUAGAGUACUGUAGAGGGGGGUACAAUUUCAGGUGUAGCGGUCAAAUGCGUAGACAUCUGAAAGAAUACCCGUGGCGAAGGCGGCCCCCUGGACAGAUACUGACACUCAGAUGCGAAAGCGUGGGGAGCAAACAGGAUUACAUACCCUGGUAGUCCACCCCGUAAACGAUGUCUACUUGCAGGUUGUGGCCUCCACCCGUGGCUUUCAGAGCUAACGCCUUAAGUAGACCGCCUGGGGAGUACAGUCGCAAGAUUAAAACUCAAAUCAAUUGACGGGGGCCCGCACCAGCGGUGGAGCAUGUGAUUUAAUUAGAUGCAACGCGAAGAACCUUACCUACUCUUGACAUCCAGAGAACUUUCCAGAGAUGGAUUGGUGCCUUUGGGAACUCUGAGACAGGUGCUGCAUGGCUGUUGUCAGCUUGUGUUGUGAAAUGUUGGGUUAAGUCCCGCAACGAGCGCAACCCUUAUCCUUGUUUGCCAGGGAGUAAUGUCGGGAACUCCAGGGAGACUGCCGGUGAUAAACCGGAGGAAGGUGGGGACGACGUCAAGUCAUCAUGGCCCUUACGAGUAGGGCUACACACGUGCUACAAUGGCGCAUACAGAGGGCGGCCAACUUGCGAAAGUGAGCGAAUCCCAAAAAGUGCGUCGUAGUCCGGAUUGGAGUCUGCAACUCGACUCCAUGAAGUCGGAAUCGCUAGUAUUCGUGGAUCAGAAUGCCACGGUGAAUACGUUCCCGGGCCUUGUACACACCGCCCGUCACACCAUGGGAGUGGGCUGCAAAAGAAGUAGGUAGUUUA